AUAUUUUUCUCCACUAAAUGGUUGCUACUAGUUCAAUUCAAUAUAGCAUGAAAGGGAUACCCAUAAAAAGGAUGGAUUUGCCAAUGCUAUGUUUAACACAACAUGAAUAUGGUUGUAAUAUCUAUUACCAUACUUUGGCAUAUAUUUACAUGUCAUAAACCAGAUAUUGAUGUGAAUUUUUAUAUAUUUUCGAGAGGAACAAUUAGAGACUAGAGAGUAUAACUUAAGGAUGAUAUUGAAAUUCUAGCAUUACAUAGCAUGUUAAAAUUGACUGUAU
rnacentral:misc_RNA from 1 species